GAGAACUGUUACUUCAAGAAAUCAAAUGAUAGGGUAACGCCUAUAAGGGUUUCCUCUGAUACUCCGACAUGCGUGAAGCAGUGGAUAAUAA
rnacentral:misc_RNA from 1 species